rnacentral:rRNA from 1 species
UACGUAGGGUGCGAGCGUUAAUCGGAAUUACUGGGCGUAAAGCGUGCGCAGGCGGUUUUGUAAGUCUGUCGUGAAAUCCCCGGGCUCAACCUGGGAAUUGCGAUGGAGACUGCAAGGCUGGAGUCUGGCAGAGGGGGGUAGAAUUCCACGUGUAGCAGUGAAAUGCGUAGAGAUGUGGAGGAACACCGAUGGCGAAGGCAGCCCCUGGG